rnacentral:rRNA from 1 species
GAUGAACGCUAGCGGCAGGCCUAAUACAUGCAAGUCGAACGGUGUAGCAAUACACAGUGGCGCACGGGUGCGUAACACGUAUGCAACCUACCUUACAUUGGGGGAUAGCCUUUCGAAAGGGAGAUUAAUACCGCAUAAGACAGUAACUAGGCAUCUAGUAGCUGUUAAAGAUUUAUCGAUGUAAGCUGGGCAUGCGUCCAAUUAGUUAGUUGGCGAGGUAAUGGCUCACCAAGACGAUGAUUGGUAGGGGAACUGAGAGGUCAAUCCCCCACACUGGCACUGAGAUACGGGCCAGACUCCUACGGGAGGCAGCAGUAGGGAAUAUUGGGCGAUGGACGCAAGUCUGACCCAGCCAUGCCGCGUGCAGGAUGAAGGCGUUAUGCGUUGUAAACUGCUUUUAUACAGGAAGAAACGACUCUUGCGAGAGGCAUUGACGGUACUGUAUGAAUAAGCACCGGCUAGCUCCGUGCCAGCCGCCGCCGUAAGAC